AACGAACGCUGGCGGCAUGCCUAACACAUGCAAGUCGAACGAGACCUUCGGGUCUAGUGGCGCACGGGUGCGUAACGCGUGGGAACCUGCCCUUAGGUUCGGAAUAACUCCCCGAAAGGGGUGCUAAUACCGGAUAAUGUCUUCGGACCAAAGAUUUAUCGCCUUUGGAUGGGCCCGCGUUGGAUUAGCUAGUUGGUAGGGUAAAAGCCUACCAAGGCGACGAUCCAUAGCUGGUCUGAGAGGAUGAUCAGCCACACUGGGACUGAGACACGGCCCAGACUCCUACGGGAGGCAGCAGUGGGGAAUAUUGGACGAUGGGCGAAAGCCUGAUCCAGCAAUGCCGCGGGAGUGAUGAAGGCCUUAGGGUUGUAAAGCUCUUUUACCCGGGAUGAUAAUGACAGUACCGGGAGAAUAAGCUCCGGCUAACUCCGUG
rnacentral:rRNA from 1 species